rnacentral:lncRNA from 1 species
CAUGGUUGGCCCUGUCCGAGGGGUGUCAUGAGCAGGAGCGAUAUCUUGUGGGUGCGUGUGUAUCGAAGCACCCUUGCUAUUGUUGAGAACGGCUGGGUUACGUUUGUAGGGGUUCAUCCAUCGCCUCGUAUCCGAAGGAAGAGUCAAAGAUCGUUUUGCCAAUCCAAGUUUGUAUGUGAAGUAAUCACCUUCGAAAUUCCGUCCUCCCUUCUGCUGACAGUGGUAUCCAGUGGUCGUAUGAGUGACCGGUGCGUACGUAUCUCGUCGUUGAAUGGCCCUGUAGUUUAGUGGGCCAGGGAAUAUCGCUUGUAUGGAGGAGGAGAGGAGGAGAGGAAUCCCACAAUCCGGCGAGUAUCCUGAGAGGAAUCGCAUCUAACCUUAGAGCGUGUCCGACAGCUAUCCUUAUAGAGGCGCUCUUUGGAUCGACGCAGAACGUAGUUCUCCAAGCCGAUGUCAAAACCGAGGAACUGGCCCGAUUCAGAUGGAGAAGCGAUCUUUGUCUGUGUACUACAAAAAACCCAUGGAGUCCCGAAAGUGAACGACAAAUUGACUGUAAACGUAGCCUGGAUUCGUAAAGAGUCAGCAAGUCUUCAGGGUAUACAAGGCAUCGCACGCCCAAAUUUAUGGAUGUGUGCCCUCACUGGUUUCAGUAGCUUCGUGAGCACCACGGAGUCGUAAAACUGCCAUGUUUGUCCUCACCAUUGGAAUCGGGGGAAGCUUCGGCAGUCCAGGGCAACGGGUACUGACAAGCGUGCGUCCUUGAGGUCCAGAUAUGUAAACCAGUCGUUACCGCUUAGGAGGUCCUGUAGAAGACGAAUUUCCUCCAACUUGAAGCAUUUGUAUACCACGUAGGAGUUCCAUUGAUGUAGUUUCCUGGCUUCUUCUUGACCAGGAAAUUUUUUUUGCUGAGGAAGCCUUCCCCUCCGGUGCAUGUUGAAUUGCGCCCUUCUUGAAGAGGGUGUGGAUUUCCUUGUCCACGAGAUGUUCCGCCAGCGUGCGCAAUGGAGGUGAAGGGGCGACCUGAACGGCUGUGAUAAAAAACUACAACUAGUCUUGUACUGUCUGGAGAACCCAGGUGACUUUGAUAGUCGUCUCCCAAAACUGUAAAAUAGAGACAGGUUGCCGGUCAUAAAAUUGGAAACAGUUAGUUAUGUAGGUUGACUCACUAGUAGAUGAAGCGGAUGGGGUCCUUUGUGUAGUAGAUGGGAGAAAUAUGAGGACUGUGUAUACGAUCUGGACCCUGUAGCCCAGAAGCGGCUGGUGGCUCGGUUCCGUUACCGACCAGCCCUCCCAAAAAACACCUUUCCCCGUAGGGGUGUGGAAGACUUGUUUUAGCGAGGUCUGGGUUUAAUUUAGUGUGUGAAUUAAUACACGUGUUUCUUGAGUACUACAAUGAACACUACGCCGAAUAGUAGGCCUUGUGCUUUUGGGCCGAAUUCUUGUCAUUCCUAAGUCCAAUAGUGUGUUGUCGUUGCGGACCAGUACAGAUUUGCAUCUGUCGGCGCAUAGUGCGUCAUUUGCAUUGCCCAGGAGGCAUAUCGAGCAUCGAGC